ensembl:rRNA 5S_rRNA 5S ribosomal RNA
GCUUACGGCCACACCGGCCUGAGUACGCCUGAUCUCGUCCGAUCUCACAAGCUAAGCAGGGUCGGGCCUGGUUAGUACUUGGAUGGGAGACCGCCUGGGAAUACCAGGUGCUGUAAGCU